GGCCGGUUAGCUCAGCUGGUUAGAGCGUGGUGCUAAUAACGCCAAGGUCGCGGGUUCGAACCCCGUACGGGCCA
rnacentral:tRNA from 2 species